UGUGGGGAAGGUGCUCACCAUGAACCAAGAAUUGGGCUCCCACCAGGCACUGAAUCCACUGGUGCCUUGAUUUUAGACUUUGAGUCUCCAUAACUGGGAGGGAUUUCUAUUGUUUAUAGGCCAUGUGGCCUACAGUAUUUUGUUUUAGCAGGUGGAACAGACUAAUAUAGUCACCCAGAAAUCAGGAUCAUCUGGGAAAGAGACUCAGCGAAGCGGCAAUUAGGGGAGCGGUAUUGACAAGAAGGACCACCUGGAGGAGCAGCUAUCCGUGGGAAGAACAUGAGGUUCCCUUUAGCUGUGUUUCAGUCCCUUGGAGGAGGCUCAUUCUGUAAAUGCUUGUACAGAAGGCAAGCUGGCUCCUGAGAGAUGCCCUUUCCACCUGCCACAGGGCUGCAACAUGAACCACCUGGAGGAAUGAAGGCCACCUACUGAAAAUCACAGGCAGCUGAAUCCAGGGACGCUCAGCCCUGCGCUGAGUACUAAGGAGAGCAGGGAUUUCAACACGAGGUUCUCCUUGCUGAAGGCAGACACACAAGCUGUUGGCAGAGAAAUGAGGCCAUUGCAGGAGCUGACCAAAUGCAGGUUUUGGAAGACAUUUAAUUACCCAGGUCAUCUCCUUUGCCAUGAAGCACCAAGACCACUUACUGCAGCACUCAGAGAGGAGCCUGCAGGAUGGUGAUGGACUGACUCUUCCUGCCUCACACACCUGUUUGCGACCUUGUCCUCUCUGCACAGAGCUUCACACGUAUGAUCUCAUCAGUGCACCCAGAACUAAUCAGCAUAAUAAUCACACAGAAAUAACUCUAAAGUUAAGAAGAAACCUGGUUGGGGCAGAGGCUGAAGAGCAAAUGUCACAGAGUGUUCCGCCCCCCAGGGGCUCACUGUGUGCAUCAGGAGGACAGCAAGGGAGAUGGCUUUCGUCCCAACACUGGCUGGGGCCAGAAUUCCAACACAAGUACAGCCUCCCUGCUUCUCCAGAUCCCUCUCUGAUCCCAUGGCUGGCAUGAGCCCUUCUGAGUGCUGUGUGAACUCUGAGCUCACAGACGUGUCCAUGCAAGCACUUGGUAAGUGUUUCUCAUGUGAAUUUUGCUUCUGCAUCUGUAUUCUAAGUUUCUUGAGAGCAGAGAUGAUGCCCUGAGCUACUCAGGGCUUCCCUUGAGUUUGCUGAGUGCUGUAAGAUUUGGGACACUCGGAUAGAACACUCAGGCACUGGUAGCUGUGUCUGUUUCAUUUGUCGAUGUUAUUAGUGGGCUUCCUAAGACAAUUUUGAAGAUUAAUGACUGAGCCAUAUUUUAAAAAGUUUUAUUUAAAAUUUUUAAAUUUAUAUAAGGGGAACAAAUUUUGUGUUUCACAUAUACAGUUUUAAGAACGUAGUGAUACUUCCCAUUGUCCCUUAUCUUUCCUUCCUUAUUUUUUUAAUUUUUACUAUGACAUACAAUUUAGACUUCCUGCUUUGUCCUUUAAGAGUUUUUUGGAUUCUUGGGAAGCAGAGACCCUCUCAGGCUACAACUUCCUCACACUUUGUUUUUUUUUUAAAUUUAAUUUAAUUUAAAAAAAUUUUUUUUUUGACAGGCAGAAUGGACAGUGAGAGAGAGAUAGAGAGAAAGGCCUUCCUUUUCUGUUGGUUCACCCCCAUAUGGCCGCUGUGGCCAGCACGCUGCGGCUGGCACACCCCGCUGAUCUGAAGUCAGGAGCCAGGUGCUUCUCCUGGUCUCCCAUGGCUUGCAGGGCCCAAGCACUUGGGCCAUCCUCCUCUGCACUCCCUGGCCACAGCAGAGAGCUUUCCUGGAAGAGGGGCAACCGGGACAGAAUCCGGCACCCCGACCCGGACUAGAACCUGGGGUGCGGGCGCCGCAGGCGGAGGAUUAGCCUAGUGAGCUGCAGCGCCGGCCUCCUCACACUUUAAAGUAAUGUUUUAUAAACAUGUUUGGUGUAUCAGAAAUCGUUUCAAAAAGGGCAGUUGAACACAGAAAUGUUGGGUGUGGGCUUUGAGCUUGAAUGUGGGCGUUUUCUGGCAAGUCUGGGAGACAUGUGAUAUGCUUCUUCCUGUGUAAAAUGACAAUCACACCUAAAAGAGACUGUGCUCAAACAACAUCAGACAUACAGUGAACAGACCCUAGCGUCCCCUGUUUGUAACUGCGGCCUAUUCAGGAAUCUCCAGACAUUCCACAACCAGUUUCCUCUGUCUGGUGUACAUGUGAGUUAAAUUACUCAGGUAUAGUUGAAGGUGAGAUUAAGCUGCAUUACCCAUCAGGUUGUCGAUCAAAUACCACAGGUGGUGUUCAGGUGAGCUUCACUUAACUGCUGGGUAAUAUUGGGUACAGCCUGGGCCCACUGUCUUGCUGAUAAAAUUUCCAUCAAGGUUGGAGACUGAGAAAAUGUUGAUUAUUUAAUAACAGCCCAAACAAUAAGACUUGUUUCAAAAAUCUCAGGAGAGAACACAGCCAAGGCAGAUAAGAGGCAAUGAAUAUCCAUCAGAAGCCAUUCAAAGGGAAGUCCCACAACUCCCUCUGAGCAGGCAGAAUUGAAUGGGGGAGGGUGGCAUUGUGGACACUCCAGCGUGGGAUCAAGGUCUCCAUCUCUUGUCAUGCAUUCAGACUUGGUUAGCCUAGCAGGAUGCACUGGGAAGGGUGCUUCUCCUUGGUGCUGUUCUUCCUGACAAUGCAGAGCCCCAGUCCAACCUCUAGGAGACAGGAGGAGGCAGGUUGCUUCUCUACCUCUGAUUACUAGAUUAUGAGUGACCUCACCCCCGUAUCAUUUGGUCAUAGCCAGGCCUUAGAGUAAAGAGGCUGCAGGAACCAGGCCUUUUCAUUAAAUCUGGUUUUAGACCUAGAGACUCCUUCGACUUUCUCUUCUGAAGCAGACCUCUCUGUAAACUUGUAAUCACACGGAAUGCCUUUGAAAAACACCCUUCAAAGGAUCAGUAGGGAACUUGUGCUUCCCCUGUAGUUUCAGAGGGCUCCAUGGCCUCUUUUUUCUCCUUUAAAUAAAAAAUUCAGUCCUCUUGGACUCUAAAUUAUU
ensembl:lncRNA